UACGGCCUUACUGCAGCAGAAUGUAAGGCCGCGGAGAACCUGUUGGUCAGACAGGCACAAUUGGAGUCGUUCCCCGACGAGAUGAGGUCACUAGAUCGAGCGACAUUCGAGGGUUGGUGCCCUACCUAGACGAGGACGGGAUUCUGCGAGCUUACGGCAGAAUUGAUGCCGCACUGUGCAUGCCGUACACUGUCACACAGGCACAGUCUGACAGAGCUGAUUGUGAGAGACUUCCACGCCAGGAUGAAGCAUCAAAAUGUGGAUGCUACGAUUGCGGAGAUCCGGACAAAGUUCUGGGUCACAAAGAUGAGGCGUGUGAUGCGGAGAGUCAUCUCAUCGUGCAACGAGUGCAAGUUGCAGCGAGCGCGGCCGAUGCCGCCGAUAAUGGGACCCCAUCCGGAAGACAGACUGGAUGCGGGUGGAUGGCCAUUCAAAUACACAGGACUGGACUACUUUGGGCCACUGCUGGUGACUGUGUCCCGUCACAAGGAGAAGCGUUGGGUCGCCUUGUUUACGUGUUUGACGACAAGGGCGAUUCACCUGGAGCUGGUGCAUGACCUGUCGACGGAUUCCUGCAUAAUUGCGAUCAGGAACUUCGUCUGCCGUAGAGGGCCAGUAUAUAGACUGCGCAGCGAUAACGGCAAAAACUUCGUGGGAGCUGACAGGGAAGCCAGGCGCUUUGGUGACGUAUUCGAGAUGGAGAAGCUUCAGAGUGAGUUGUCAAGCAGAAGCAUUGAAUGGGUUUUUAAUUGUCCAGCGAACCCGUCUGAGGGCGGAGUUUGGGAGCGCAUGGUGCAGUGCGUCAAGAGAGUACUGCGUCAUACCCUGAAGGAAGUUGCGCCGAGGGACCAUGUAUUGGAGAGUUUCCUGAUUGAGGCGGAGAAUAUUGUAAACUCGCGUCCGCUCACCCACUUGCAUGUGGAUGAGGACCAGGAGGCGCCGUUGACGCCAAACGAUCUACUCAAGGGAGUAGCCAAUCUGCCGGAUACGCCUGGAUUGGAUGCGGAGCUGCCCAGGGAGGGUUCUACGAGGAAGCAGUGGAGGAUUGCUCGCCUGCUACGAGACCGUUUCUGGAGGAGGUGGGUCAUGGAGUACCUGCCUACGCUUGUGCGCCGCGAGAAGUGGUGCCGCCGAACGGAGCCCAUCCACCAGGGUGAUAUGGUCUUCGUCUGCGAUCCUGCCUUGGCCCGACGAGAGUGGCGCAAGGGCAUCGUGGAGGAGAUCUACAGCGGAGCUGAUGGAGUCGUCAAACGCGCUAAGGUGCGCGUGAACGACAACGGCCUAUCUAGGACAAUGAUGCGACCCGUCUCUAAACUUGCAGUUUUGGAUUUGAGUGAAGCGGUUCUUCACGGGGUCGGGGAUGUCGCGGAUCGAAUAUUGUUAUCGAUAGGCUAGUUAGUAUUUUUGAGAAGUCCGAAUGUGGAAGGAUUUGUAAGCCCAUAUGUGUCUGGGCACAUUGUUUUUCGCCAUUGUAAAUUGCCGGGAAAAUUUAGCUUUUCAUUGUCGUGUAAGAGUUGGAGGACACACUGCGAAUAAAACGUGUUCUACUACCACGGAUUAGUCUGCCCUUUCUUUCGGGAACCAAUGCGUGGGGUAGCCGUUUAAGGCAACUCCAUGUGACGCCCGA